AUAUACAAUAUCUUCUGGUUCAAUCAACUGCUUGAAACCCACAAGCUCUGACCCUUGAAGCAUGUGAUCAUUCUUCUUCAAAGCCUUCAAUGGUGGCUGAGUCAGCUCGUGGAUCGGCAAGUGAGCUGGUUCGAACGAGUCAAGUUGGAAAACCAGUGUAGCUACCAAGACAGGAGAUAGAACAGUUAACAGAACAGUAAGGAAAGGCCAUGAGGUCUUUCUUGAUGUGGGUUUCGGAGAAGAUGGUGAGCUUGCAGGUCUAGCCAUAGGGGGUUGGAUAAUGUUAUCUCGAUACUGAGCAAGCCUUUAAAUUAAGAAACAAGUUGUCUGAAAUCAUUGGCAUUCUAAUAUUUGAUGUCAUAAAACUAAAACAAUAUAAAGACUAUUAAGUUUUAAAAAACUCAUGAAAUAGACUCUCUCUUUUUUUUUAACCAAGACCACAUAAUUUCAUGAGUUUUUCUCUUAAAAGAUCCAAACUUGAGUUGAUUCUUUCAACUCAACCCCAAUUUUAUCCGAGUCAAACUCUUUUAUGGGCUCUUGUAACGACAACAAAAACAAUGAAAAAGGGCCACGCACUUGCCUUCUUUCCAGAACUGACAGGAACGUUGAUGGGAUCUGCGAUUAAAAAACAAAAACAUCUCUUAUAGAAAAUUAUAAGUGAAUGCAUGCGGGAGAUGACUUUCGAGGAAGAUGCCUCGUCAUCGACCAAAAGUCAUCUUAUGCAAAAAUAAUCAAUUAUAUGCAUGUGGAAGAUGACGUAUACGUCAUUUAUAUGAUUUUAUUGUCUAGCUUUUUUUUUUUAAUUCUAACUUUCUCUCUCUCUCUCUCCAAUUUAAUCUCUUAGUAUUUUAUUAAUCUUAAAUUAAUCAUCCUGAUUUAUUUUAGAUUUUACAAAUUCGAUCUAUACAAUCUUUCUUGUCCUCGAGCGGCGUCCGAUGGCAAUUUUUAUUCACUUCCUUGAUUUGAAAAAUCGCCACCUAAAAUUUAAUUCAAGGCUACUAGAAAACCCGACUAUACUAUUCCUUGUAAUAAAUUCAUUGGUAAAAAACUGUUUAUGACUAGGAAAGAUAUUAACACCCCUAACGCAUCCUACUUGAGGUAAGUUGCUCCUUAGUUUUGAUAUGAUUUAAAAAUUUAAACAUAUUAAUCAAAUUUUUAAGGUUUUAAUAAAUCAGUUAUUAAAUCCCAAAAAAAAUAUGUAGAAACAUGUUCUUAUAUUUUUACGAGAAAUACAACAUGAUUUUAUUUGUCCGUAAAAUACUUGAUCAUAUGUAAAUUAAACCAUUAAAUUCUUUUUUUUAAUUCAAUAACAUACAAAAAAAAAAUACAAACACACACAUCAUUUUUACAUGUUACAAAAUAACAGAAAUUGAAAUUAACCAAACAAGACCUUAACAAUUCCAAAAUUAAAAAACACACCCCAAAAAAAUAUAAGAACUGUAGGGAAGCCUUCUAAGACCUGCUAAAAUAGUGCACUGCGUGGAGCUCACGCACCACCGCCACUGGCGGCGUAUGGAUCCACGUGCCGUUGUUGGCGAAGACCAAUAAACUUGUGGAUCGGGAUCGUCUCAUUCUUCUCUUCUUGCUCGUACCGGUGGUGGAUCUCCCAGUCACCUGCAAGGCAACCCAACAAACACAAAUAAUAGAUUUCACUUUUGUUUUCCCCCCUUUUCUUUUAGAUCUGCCACUGUCUCCCUCCGUUAAUCCUUUCUUGUUUUGUGCAGCAAUGUCGCAAGCAACAAACCUUGCCCACAACAGCAGCAAGAAAAGAAGGAUGACACUGUGUUUUAAUUGGUUUGGAAAUCAACAUUUAUAAGAGAACAACGAACAAAUAAAAUAUCAAAGCGGGACAACAAAUUAUAAAUUAAAUUUCAGCUGUGAAAGAAAUGUAUGAGUACAUGGCAAACAUUGAAAAUUGAAAUCGAAAAGAGCUACGAUUGGAGAGAAUACAAUACGUAAUUCAACAUGAUCAAACAUGGAAAUCAAUGUACAUGCUUUUUAUUUAUAACGAAGCAUAAAAUCCAUACCGAAUGACAUUACACCUUUAUAAAAUCUUCAUCUUCAGCAUAUUACAAUAACAUCCCCAAGAACAGCAUGCCUCUUAUUUAUCAAAUGAAUAACUUUAUUUGAACUUUAAAUUAAACAAUAAGACAAACACUAAGUUUAUUUUUGAAGUAAAUAAUGACAUAUUAAAGAUGGGUAAUUUUUCCUGGUUAUCUACACGAUCUGAGUUGAUGAUAUGUAGCUUAGGGCCUGCAAUUUUUUUUUAUGUCCGAUUUGGGAAAAAUAAUCUCACUUUGAGCAUUGACAGUAGCCGAAAAUAACAAAGGGAGUGUUGCCAUAGUUAGAAAAUAGUUAUUUAACAUUCAUUUUCUGUCCUUGAAUAAUUUCUAUAGCUGAAAAAGAAACAAAUCUUGUCCUAUGACCAUUUCAUAGCCAACAAUACCAUAAGUAGCCAAGAAAGAAGAAGGUACAUUAUUAGAAUAAUAUGACAAAAAUAAUUGCAGGGUGUGGGAUAAUGCGAAGAACAUCACUUCAUAGGAGUGUUGCUUACACUGUGGCUCGUGCAGGAUGCUUUGUUACAUCAAGACGGACAAUGUAGGGAUAGAGAAGGGAACCGCAGUAUAUAUGGUUUCCAAUCCUGAUCCCACUUGAAAUCAAUGCCAAACCCGGAUCAUAGUAAUGCUCCGUUGGCUUUCCUUCCAAAUCUACGAUGAAAACACCACUAUUCUUCGACAUAUUAAUUCCCCCCAUGUACUUCGUAUAGAUUCCCAUAAGCUUUCGAAGAAAAGGAUGUUUGAGUGCUAGGUCCAGUGCAACUGUGAUUUCCUGUUGUAUUUUUGCAGCAACAUUAAUGGUGUUAUAAACAACAGUCAUACUAUAAAGGUCUUUAAGUGAACGGAAAAAGAAGAUUAAUACAAGUAAAGAAUAGCAGGAACGCAAUUAAAUUACCGAGGCUAAUGCAAUAUAGUAAUGGCCAUGUCCAUCAUGAUGGAUGUUAUCAGGCAAGCCAGGCAAAUUGUCAAUGAAUGUCUCUAGGCUCCCUUUUUUCUUUCCUUGUAUGUAAUAUUUUCUACACCUUCUCCUGCAAUAACCAGUUCAAAAAAGUGAAUUAUAAGAACUUAAUGAUAAUUCAUAGAUAGUUGGUGGUGUUGGAUAACCUAUAAAAUUUAUUAUCUCAACGUUUUGUUAGCGUAUAGCCUUAUCCCUAGGCGCAUCUUUUAGGGCAAAAGAAAAGAAAUCCCUUUAUGAAAGCCAAACGAAAGAAAGAAAUAUCAAAGAAGCCAAUUUCUCGAAAACUAGCAUUCGUGCUUGCAAGAAUGUAAAUAAGAUUAUUUGGAUCAUACAUGAAUGUUUCGCAGAAGACCACAUAUUGUUGAUCUGGUGAGACGGCGAUUCCAUUAGCAAAGUAGAGGUCACGGGCCAAAACCUUGGUCUCUUUGGUAACUGGAUCAUAGCUGAUUGCUCGACCAUAUGGCUUACCCUCCAAAAGGUCCCAGAAGAACUCGAGCAGAUUGUAUUUGUAUGAAGCAUCUGUAAAAUAGAUGGUGCCAUCUUCUGCUAUAUCUACACCAUCUGUGAUCUUCAAUUUUACACCCUCGGCCUCAUCAGCUAGUAGCUCCACUUUACCCUCUCCGCUUAUCUUUAGCAGUCCCUGUUAUACAAGCCCAUGCAAUAAUAUAUAUAUAACAAGCCCAUGCAAUAAUUAACAUAAUACCAAUGCUACACACAAGACAUUAGUAAACUUGUAUUAAAUACAUAAGAAAACAAUACAUUGAAAAAUGAUCAUAUAUUCAGAGUUGAUUUCAAGAAAAUUAAAUUUAUAGACAUAAGACUAAAUAUAUAGAUAAAUAAAGAUAAAUAAAGCUAAUUUUCCAAAAACUAUAAUGUUCUUGAGAAAAAGAUCGCAUUCGCUCAUACUUCUCUGAGGGAAAAGUGAUUUCAUUCCGAACAUAUUAUAUCACUCAUAAUAAGUCUUAGCUUCAUGUACUUUUAUAUUAUUUUUUACACUUGACACUCUCUAAUAAACAAAAUGUGAUAUUUGUUUUUCUUUUUUCCUCUAAUUACCUAAAACAAAAUGUGCAAACAUCUUUAGUGAUGGCAACAAUUUUUUUAAAAAAAAACAAUGAAUUUGUGUCAAUUAAAUUUAAUAUGUAAUAUUAAUUUUGAGAUUAUCGACUUGUUUGGAAGUGUGGUUGUGGUUGUUUUUUAAAGUGUUUUUCGUGCUGAAAUGCAUCGAAAUGAUUUUUUUACUUUUUAAAAUCAUUUUUAAGAUCAGCGCAUCAAAACGAUCCAAAGCAUACAAAAAAAUUACAAAUUUUAACAAAACAAUUAAUUUUUUUAAAAAUACAGGUACAAUCACAUUUCCAAACACUCUAAUAUGACUAUAUUAAUAAGGGUUAGCCGUAAAAUUCACAUAACAAGUCAUAUACAUCACCCUAAAGCAAGAAAGUGCUAAUUUAGUUGGCUAGUUCUCACAUUCUUUACCCUUCUAAGCUUUUUUUUUUUUUUUUUAUUUGAGUCUUUGUUCUAUUUUUUUAAGAUGAAAUGCGAGGUUAAAUUCAUAUGAGCAUUAGAGAAUCACAUAUUAAAUUGAAAAAAAAUUGGCUAGGCUGGGGUGAAAUGAAACUCAAGACUCAAUUGAAGAAUUAAUAUUGAUUAAAAGAUCAAAAAAAAAAAGGGUUGAGGCGUGGAAUAAACAUUCCACCAUGUGAACCGGACAGCCAUGGUCUGGUGGUACAGCCUCCAAUCUCAAAAAGUGGUAAUUCUUUCCACUAUCAGAUUCAUCGCAUGAAAGUGGUCAUCCCAAAAACAGUGCAUGGCUGAGAAGGAGUAUGUGGCUUUAGCCACUAUUUUUUCUUGAAUUUCCUUUCUCAUAUUCUAUCUGCUCUAAAAAGAGAAGGGUCUCUGUUUUUUUAUUUUCAAUUCUAGUCCCUUUAGGUUUAAUUCAUUAGAAAACGAGAGCUUCUAACUAUUUUGCAGAGAAAUCUAUCUUAUAUCAAGGAGAUCAAACCAAAACACCAAACCCAAAUUAAGUUGAUUAAUUAAUGUCACCAACCUUGAAAGCAUCGGCUACAAUAACUUCAUUAUCGUGUCCAAUGGCGAGUCCGAGAGGCCUCCCUCCAGUGCGAACCCAGCUCUCCACGAUAGUGUCAGCGACCGAGUCAUUAAUCGUGACUCGUUUAACCCACCCAUCAGCGCAAGAAGUGUAAAUAACACCCGAAUUGCUAUCAUAUGCAAUAUCUUCUGGUCCAAUCAACUGCUUGAAACCCACAAGCUCUGACCCUUGAAGCAUGUGGUCAUUCUUCUUCAAAGCCUUCAACGGUGGCUGAGUCAGCUCGUGGAUCGGCAAGUGAGCUGGUUCGAACGAGUCAAGUUGGAAAACGAGUGUGGCUACCAAGACAGGAGAUAGAACCGCUAACAGAACAGUAAAGAAAGGCCAUGAGGGCUUUCUUGAUGUGGGUUUCGGAGAAGAUGGUGAGCUUGCAGGUCUAGACUUCGUUGCCAUAGCCAUAGGGGGUUAGAUAAUGUUAUCUAGAUACUGCAGCAAGCAUUUAAUAUCGCGUAAAAGUUGUUUCAAAUCAAGGACAUUUUAAUAUUUGAUGUCAUAAAACUAAAACAAUAUGAAGACUUUAAAGUUUUAAAAAACUCAUGAAAUAAACUCUCUUUUUUUUCUUUUUUUUUUACUAAAACCACAUUAUUUUAUAAGUUUUACUCUUAAAAGAUCCAAACUUGAGUUGAUUGUGUCAACUCACCCCCAAAUUUAUCCGAGUCAAACUCGAUUCAUCAAUAAAAUAUUAUAUACAUUCAAUUCUAAUUUAUACUUCCGACAAGUGCAUUCGAGCGGGAGAUGACUUUCGAGGAAGAUGCCUCGUCAUCGACCAUAAAGUCAAAAAUAAUCAUUUAUAUGCAUGUGGAAGAUGACGUGCAGGAUCCUUUUUUUCUUUUUCUUUUUUCCUUCAAUUUAAUAUCUCCAUAUUUUAUUAAUCUUAAACUAAUCAUCAUGAUUUAUUUUAAAUUUUUUAUAUAAGAUUAUAGUAAUUCAAAUAUUUUUUUUUAUAUUUAAUUAAUACUAAAUUUUUCAAGCGUUUAUUUUUAAUAAAUAUUUAGAGGAUGAUAAACUUGCAUUCGGUUUAUCUUUAUGAAUUUUAUUUUUAUUAAAUUAAAAAUAUUUUAAGAAAUAAAUUAAAAAUAAAUAUAGUAUCCAAAAAAAAAACAUUGUAAACCUAGCUUCGUGUGCUUUUAUAUUAUUUUUCACAUUUGAUUUAUUUUUUUUCUUCUCCUCUAAUUACCUAAAAUGAAAUCAAUUUCAUGCCUAACGAGCCUAAUCUCUUUGCCCUUGAGAUAGUUUAGACAAACACAUAAUACUACAAAUGAUAAGUCUGAGAAGAUUAAAGAUCAAUAUAACAUAUUUUUAAAUUAAUGAAGGAUAAUAAAUAUCAUAGGAGUGCUAUUUUGUUCUUCAUCGAAACAAGACAUCGUGUAUUGCGUGAUCUUUUCUAGGAUGGUGGCAAGCACAGCAUUCAUGUGUACCGGACGCCAUGGUAAGUAGUGAUACACCCCAUCAAAUCUCUACAAUCUAGAUUCGCAUAUAAUUCAAGCAUCUUCUAUGUAUAUCAUUUCGUCCUCUUAACCUGUUGACAUUAAAUUAAAUUAGCACUGAACUCGUUUAUAGACCUGCUCUAUAUAUUAUGUAUUGAAUUUUUUUUUAAUAUCACAAAAAUUUUAAGUUUUAGAAAAUUAAUUGACUUUGAUAUUAAAUUAAGUUUAGUAGGUUAAUUUUAAAAUUUUUUGAUCUAGUUUUUUAUAUAUCUUGAGAUUAAAAUUAGUAUGAUAAAAUUAAUAAGUAUAAAAAUAACCCGAAUAAUCAAUUAAAAAGAUUAAAUAAUAAAAUUAAAAGAAAAAAAAAACCUAUUAACCUAACUUUUUAUAAAAGUUAUAUUACUACUAACCUACUUUAUAUACCUGCGUGCACAGUGUUGUGCUACGGAUUGAAUUAAAUUUUGUUGCCUUUUUCAAACAACUAACCAGCUAACUUUUUUUUAAUUUUGUUACCAUAUGAACAUUAAAUUUUGUUGCCUUUUCAAACAUUCCACCAGCAAGAACUCACGAAGAAAAUAAAUACUAACUAGCUAACUUUUUUAAUUUUUUUUUAUUAAUGAAAGGUACCAACUAACUUUUUAUUUUAUUUUAUUUACGUGGUUGUCCGGGCCAACUUGCGCGCACCAUGAUUAAUCCCACGGCCCACUGAACACCCUGCAAACCCAGUGGACAUGUAAAACACCGCGGGAUAACAGACGUGCACAUGAAAACUCGAACUCAGGAGCAGCGGAAGGAGACAAGCUAGGCCCUCAGUGCAAGGUACUAGCUAACUUUAGCAACUAUGGAGUGGUCGCAACAUAAUAAAAAAAGUGAAUUUAAGUAAACUAUAUUUAAUGUGUGUUUAAUUUUAAAGUUUUGUUAUAAUUAAAUUGAUUCAGAUUAACAUAAUAAUUAUAAAAUUCACUAAUCAAGUUAUAUGCAUAAUCAUAAAACGUUAAUUUUGCUAGCUAGUUAUAACUUUUUUUACUUUUUUUUAGCUUGUUUUUCAUUUGAGUUCUAGUUGAUUUUACUAGGAUGAAAUACGAGAUUAAAUUAAUAAGGUAUUAGAGAAUUAAAAAUCAAAUUGAAAGAAGAUGAAUUAGGCUGGGGUGAAAUGAAAUUUAGAACUUAAUUGAAGAUUAUUGAUUUGAGAUUAAAACAAAAUAAAAGAAAAGAAAAAGAAUUGAUAUAUGGUAUAAACGUGCUAACGUGUGAGCUGGACCCCUAUUAUUCGGUGGUGGAUGUGACAACCUCCAAUCUCCAGAAUUGGUCAUUUUUUUAUGUCGGUAGAUUCAUGUCAUCAAAGUUGUAGUCUCAAGUCAAAGCAUGGCCAAAAAGGAAUCUCGAAGUGGCUCUGACGAUCAUUUUUCUUUUUUUCUCCCUUAUUUUUAAUUCGAGUCCCUUAAGUCUUAAUUCAUUAGAAAACCAGAAAUUCUAACUAUUUUGCAUAAAAUCUAGUUUCAACUGAAAGCUGGAAUUUCCUGUGUUACUGAAGAAUAUUAUAUAAGGCAAUCAAACCAAAAUACCAAAUUAAAAUUUCAUCCCAACCAACUGCUAAAGGACAUAAUUGAAAAACAAAAGAAUAUGGUUAUGAAAAAAAAGGCGAAAAAAAUCAAAGAAAAAAUGAGCCAAACAGUAAAUCCAAAGUAAAUUAAACAUUUAAAAUGCUUGGCGUAUUAGUUUAUUUCUUGUAAUGGAACAUUAAGUUGAUUAAUUAACGUUACCAACCUUGUAAGCAUCGCCUACAAUAACUUUAUUAUCGUGUCCAAGGGCAGUCCGAGAGGCCAACCUCCAGUGUUAACCCAGUUCUCCACGAUAUUGUCAGCAACUGAGUCAUUAAUCGUGACUCGUUUAACCCACCCAUCAGCACAGGUAGUGUAAAUAACAACUGAAUUGCUAUCAUAUUCAAUAUCUUCUGGUCCAAUCAACUGCUUGAAACCCACAAGCUCUGAUCCUAAGCAUGUGAUCAUUCUUCUUCAAAGCCUUCAAUGGUGGCUGAGCCAGCUCGUGGAUCGGCAAGUGAGAUGGUUCGAACGAGUCAAGUUGGAAAACGAGUGUAGCUACCAAGACAGGAGAUAGAACCGUUAAGAGAACAGUAAAGAAAGGCCAUGAGGUCUUUCUUGAUGUGGGUUUCGGAGAAGAUGGUGAGCUUGCAGGUCUAGACUUCGUUGCCAUAGCCAAGGGGGGUUGGAUAAUAUUGUUAUCUAGAUACUGCAGCAAGCAUUUAAAUUAUGAAACAAGUUAAUUCCUACUUGGCUUUAAGUAAAAAUUUGAAAUCCUUCGGAGAUCGGUUUUUUCCUUCUUUUUUUAACAUGCACGAAAACCACAAUUAAUAUACACACAUAUACUAAUGCCAAUUGACUAAUUGAGGUACAUCGGACUCUGAAAAUUUGAUUUCCUAUAAAUACAGGUAUCCCGGAAUUAUUUCUUGUACAUGAAGAUGCAACGCCCAGAAUAGCAACAUCCUGGGCCUGCUCUGUUUUUUUUUUAUUGACUCUGUUCGUGUUUACAAGAACUUGAAACAUGCAACAACGACACAUAAAUAAACUAUAUAGCAAAAGCUUCGAUAAAGCAAUCCAAUAAUCAAGAAAUAUUUGUUUUGAACAG
rnacentral:lncRNA from 1 species